AGAGUUUGAUUCUGGCUCAGGACGAACGCUGGCGGCGCGCCUAACACAUGCAAGUCGAACGGAGCUUUUUAGAGCUUGCUUUGAAAAGCUUAGUGGCGAACGGGUGAGUAACGCGUGAGUAACCUGCCCUCGAGUGGGGGACAACAGUUGGAAACGACUGCUAAUACCGCAUAAGACCACAGAGCCGCAUGGCUCAGGGGUAAAAGGAUUUAUUCGCUUGAGGAUGGACUCGCGUCCAAUUAGCUAGUUGGUGAGGUAACGGCCCACCAAGGCGACGAUUGGUAGCCGGACUGAGAGGUUGAUCGGCCACAUUGGGACUGAGACACGGCCCAG
rnacentral:rRNA from 1 species